CACUCAGUGAUCAGGACUGAGCAUAGGCGGCUCACCAUGGAGCUUGUGCUGAGUUUGGCUUUCCUGGUUGCUCUUUUAAAAGCUGUGCAGUGUGAGGUGCAGCUAGUGGAGUCUGGAGGAGGCUUGGUGCAGCCUGGGGGGGGGUCCCUGAAACUCUCCUGUGUGACCUCGGGAUUCACCUUCAGCGAUUACUACAUGGAAUGGGUCCGCCAGGCUCCAGGAAAUGUCCCAGAAUGGGUUGCUGUUAGUAGAAACAAGGCUAAUAGUUAUACAACAGAAUAUGCUACAUCUGUGAAAGGCAGAUUCACCAUCUCCAGGGAUGAGUCCAUAAACACACUGCAUCUGCAGAUGAACAGCCUGAAAGUUGAGGACACAGCCGUGUACUACUGUGCUAGAGACACAGUGAGGAGACCUCAGUGUGAGCCCACAUGCAAAUCUCCCUGCUGGGGUGCUCAGCACCAGCAGGGGUCGCACAGGUCACACUGA